UGGCUCAGGAUGAACGCUGGCGGCGUGCCUAACACAUGCAAGUCGAGGGGCUCGUUGUAGCAAUACGGCGAGCCACUGGCGCACGGGUGAGUAACACGUAGGUAAUCUACCCCCAACUCAGGCAUAACACUUCUAACGAGGUGCUAAUACCUGAUGAGGAGGCAGCUCCAAAGACCUUCGGGUCGGUUGGGGAUGAGCCUGCGUCCGAUUAGGUAGUUGGUAGGGUAAUGGCCUACCAAGCCGACGAUCGGUAGCUGGCCUGAGAGGGUGGUCAGCCACACUGGGACUGAGACACGGCCCAGACUCCUACGGGAGGCAGCAGUGAGGAAUAUUGGGCAAUGGGCGCAAGCCUGACCCAGCGACGCCGCGUGUGGGGAUGACAGGGGCUAUGCCUUGUAAACCACUGUCGGGGUGGGGACGAAAAGCGAGCUACGGGCUCGCCGGGGACGGGUACCACCGAAAGGGAAGGGGUCGGGCUAACUACGUGCCAGCAGCCGCCGCAGUAAC
rnacentral:rRNA from 1 species